GGUGAAGGAGAGCUUGCUCUCCGGAUCAGUGGCGAACGGGUGAGUAACACGUGAGCAACCUGCCCCGGACUCUGGGAUAAGCGCUGGAAACGGCGUCUAAUACCGGAUACGAGCUGCGAAGGCAUCUUCAGCAGCUGGAAAGAACUUCGGUCCGGGAUGGGCUCGCGGCCUAUCAGCUAGUUGGUGAGGUAACGGCUCACCAAGGCGUCGACGGGUAGCCGGCCUGAGAGGGUGACCGGCCACACUGGGACUGAGACACGGCCCAGACUCCUACGGGAGGCAGCAGUGGGGAAUAUUGCACAAUGGGCGAAAGCCUGAUGCAGCAACGCCGCGUGAGGGAUGACGGCCUUCGGGUUGUAAACCUCUUUUAGCAGGGAAGAAGCGAAAGUGACGGUACCUGCAGAAAAAGCGCCGGCUAACUACGUGCCAGCAGCCGCGGUAAUACGUAGGGCGCAAGCGUUAUCCGGAAUUAUUGGGCGUAAAGAGCUCGUAGGCGGUCUGUCGCGUCUGCUGUGAAAACCCGAGGCUCAACCUCGGGCCUGCAGUGGGUACGGGCAGACUAGAGUGCGGUAGGGGAGAUUGGAAUUCCUGGUGUAGCGGUGGAAUGCGCAGAUAUCAGGAGGAACACCGAUGGCGAAGGCAGAUCUCUGGGCCGUAACUGACGCUGAGGAGCGAAAGGGUGGGGAGCAAACAGGCUUAGAUACCCUGGUAGUCCACCCCGUAAACGUUGGGAACUAGUUGUGGGGUCCAUUCCACGGAUUCCGUGACGCAGCUAACGCAUUAA
rnacentral:rRNA from 1 species